rnacentral:rRNA from 1 species
AUUGAACGCUGGCGGUAUGCUUAACACAUGCAAGUCGAACGGCAGCAUGGUAUGUAGCAAUACAUACUGAUGGCGAGUGGCGGACGGGUGCGUAACACGUAGCAAUCUACCCUAAAGCGGGGGAUAACCCGAGGAAACUCGGGCUAAUACCGCAUAAUUUCCGAGGAAAAAAGCUGGGUUUACUCGGCACUUUAGGAGGAGCCUGCGUCUGAUUAGCUAGUUGGUGGGGUAAAGGCCUACCAAGGCGACGAUCAGUAGGUGGUCUGAGAGGAUGAUCACCCACACUGGGACUGAGACACGGCCCAGACUCCUACGGGAGGCAGCAGUGGGGAAUAUUGGACAAUGGGGGCAACCCUGAUCCAGCAAUACCGCGUGUGUGAAGAAGGCCUUCGGGUUGUAAAGCACUUUAGGCUGGGAAGAAGGUUAUUAGUUUAAGAGAUGAAUAACUUGACGGUACCAGCAGAAUAAGCACCGGCUAACUCUGUGCCAGCAGCCGCAGUAA